AUACGUAGGUGGCAAGCGUUGUCCGGAUUUACUGGGUGUAAAGGGCGCGUAGGCGGGAUGCAAGUCAGAUGUGAAAUCUCCGGGCUCAACCCGGAAACUGCAUUUGAAACUGUCGUUCUUGAGUAUCGGAGAGGCAAGCGGAAUUCCUAGUGUAGCGGUGAAAUGCGUAGAUAUUAGGAGGAACACCAGUGGCGAAGGCGGCUUGCUGGACGACAACUGACGCUGAGGCGCGAAAGCGUGGGGAGCAAACAGGAUUAGAUACCCGGGUAGUCCACGCCGUAAACGAUGAAUACUAGGUGUGGGGGGACUGACCCCCUCCGUGCCGCAGUUAACACAAUAAGUAUUCCACCUGGGGAGUACGGCCGCAAGGUUGAAACUUAAAGGAAUUGACGGGG
rnacentral:rRNA from 1 species